GAGGGUGCGAACCCAGACGUGCCACUGUAGCGACCCAGCCUCACGUGUUACUUUCACAGCUGCGUGGUUGCUGUUUCUUUACACAAAAUUUUGGUUGCAUUUAUAAAAGCAAACUGUGUGAAGAUUGUUGCGCAGAACCAAGUUUUCCACGCAUGCGUGCUGGUCAGGCCCUUUUUAGUGCAACGGUCAGAUACACAUACUAAUUUCUGAGAUUUUGUUGUGUGUUUGAGCCUACGAACGGAAAAUGCAAAUGUGCAAUUUGCUCAAAGCCCCUGCAAAGUUGUGCAUCUGUGGUCGCUGAAUGCAUUAUGGCCUUAUAACUAAACCCCCUCCAAAUCUAAUGAUCUGGAAAGUCCACAGUGCCCUGAAAACAUCAUGAGGGGGUUAGUUGAAGGAAAACAACUGAAAUAUAUCUUGGUUUGCUAUAGACGAGG